UUCUCCUUAGCUCAGUUGGCUUAGAGCGUCUGACUGUUAUUCACACAACGACAUCAGGAGGUCGGCAGUUCGAGCCUGCCAGGGGAAG